CCGCCCGAGGAUGGGGCCGCGACCGAUCAGGUAGUUGGCGAGGUAAUGGCUCACCAAGCCUUUAACCGGUACGGGCCGUGAGAGCGGGAGCCCGGAGAUGGGCACUGAGACAAGGGCCCAGGCCCUACGGGGCGCAGCAGUCGCGAAAACUUUGCAAUACACGAAAGUGUGACAGGGCUAUCCUGAGUGCCAUCCGCUGAGGAAGGCUUUUACCCAGUAUAGAAAGCUGGGAGAAUAAGGAGAGGGCAAGUCUGGUGUCAGCCGCCGCGGUAAUACCAGCUCUCCGAGUGGUGUGGAUGUUUAUUGGGCCUAAAGCAUCCGUAGCUGGCCAAGUUAGUCCCCUGUUAAAUCCACCGAAUUAAUCGUUGGAGUGCGGGGGAUACUGCUCGGCUAGGGGACGAGAGAGGCCGACGGUAUUUUCGGGGUAGGGGUGAAAUCCUAUA
rnacentral:rRNA from 1 species